rnacentral:rRNA from 1 species
UACGUAGGGUGCGAGCGUUGUCCGGAAUUAUUGGGCGUAAAGAGCUUGUAGGUGGUUUGUCGCGUCUGCUGUGAAAAUCCGAGGCUCAACCUCGGACUUGCAGUGGGUACGGGCAGACUAGAGUGUGGUAGGGGAGACUGGAAUUCCUGGUGUAGCGGUGGAAUGCGCAGAUAUCAGGGGGAACACCGAUGGCGAAGGCAGGUCUCUGGGCCACUACUGACGCUGAGAAGCGAAAGCAUGGGGAGCGAACAGG